rnacentral:lncRNA from 1 species
AGCAGUGGUGGGGAAGCAAAAGCGUGGUGUUCUCUCCUCAUGGUUGUGAAAAUAUCCACAUAAAAGAUUCACUAACUACCAUUACUAAUUCAAGGACUUUCCUCAAAAUCCAUGUAUUAUAACGGUUUAAUAUACUAACAUGAUUUGGAGGAAAUCGGCCUCAGCAUUGGUGAAUGUGUUGACAUAUGAAGCUAUUAUUUUUAUAAUUCUUACUUUAGGGAUGGAGUCUCACUGUCUCACCCAGGCUAGAGUGCAGUGGCAAGAUCAUAUCUCACUGUAACCUGGAAUUCCUGGGCUCGAGUGGUCCUUCUGCUUUAGCCUCCUGAUUAGUUGGGACUGCAGGCAUGUGCCACCACCCAUGGUUAAUUUAAAAAAAAAAGAAAAGAAAAGAAAAAAAAGGUGUGGAGACAGGGUCUGACUACAUUGCCCAGGCUGGUCUUGAACUCCUAGCCUCAAGUGAUCCUCUUGCCUUGUCCUUCCAAAAUGCUGAGAUUACAAAUGUGAGUCACCCCGCCCAGCCUAAAGCUGUUUUAAGCUUAUUGGAUGCAUGUUGGUUGUGUCACGAGCAGGAGGGGCUUAUAGGCUGCGUCACUGUUUUCUUUCCUAUACUACCUUUAUUAUCACUUAAUAACUAAAAUACGUGCUAUCUGUUUUUAGGUGGAUGCUCUGCUUCUCCUGAUAGAUAUGAAAGCAGGAUAUCUUUUUUCUUUUUUUGAGACGGAGUCUCACGCUGUCGCCUGGGCUGGAGUGCAGUGGUGCGAUCACGGCUCAUUCCAACCUCUGCCUCCCAGGUUCAGGUGAUUCUCCUGCCUCAGCCUCCCAAGUAGCUGAGAUUACAGGCACCCACCACCACGCUAGGCUAAAUUUUUGUAUUUUUAAUAGAGAUGGGGGACGUGGUUUCACUGUGUUGGCCAGGCUGGUCUCGAACUCCUGACCUCGUGAUCUGCCCACCUCGGCCUCUCAAAGUGGCUCACAGACGUGAACCACUGCUCCCAACCCCACCUGUGUGUUUUUCUAUCACUUGGCAGGAUAACUGACUGAUAGCAGAGUUCAGUAAAUAUUUGUUGAAUGAAUGAUGCUUAGCAUGGCAGCUAACACACAGUAGAUGCUUCACAGAUACUCUGCUGAUCAUUUCGAGGGAGACUGGCUGUCUCAACUCUUCAUUCUUAGAGCUGAUUGGAAAUAAAUUAGCUAAGCACAUGGGUUCUUUGGUGAUUGGAGUUGCUUGUUGCUAUGAGUAAAUUACAGACUUUUUUUUGACAUUUUAACAGAACUUAAUGUGACUACUAUUACAGUAGUGAUCCUACUGAGCUAAAGCAAGCCGAGAUAAGAAGGGAGGGUGGCUGCAGCAGCUGACACGAGUGCUAGAAAGAAAAGUAAAAAAGAAAAUAGCUGAGAUCCUGUGAGCAAGCGAAAGAAAAUACAUAGAAAGACAAGAUCCAAAAUUAAGGGAAAGAAAGUGUGAAGAAAAACAAAAAAGGAAUGGAUUAGUAAUAGUGUCUAAGUUAUUUUUGAUGUGUUUUUGGUUUAAUUCCAGGUGAUAGCAGAAAGAGCCCUGGCAGUUCCUUUUGGACCUGCUUAGGAAUUUGUUAUUUUUAAUUUUCCUUCAAGGAAUUUACCAUGUCUUUUCUUCUACUUUCUCUCUGCUUUUCAUCAUCACCAAGGCCGUUUGUUCAUUCUCUCUUUUUAGGAGCUGGGAAGGCUGAAUUUUUCUUUAUUUCUUAUAUUGGACUACUUGAUAAGCUUUCACUGAGAAAAGGUUUUACACCUAAAAAUAAAAAUUCAAAAAAAAAAAAAA